rnacentral:rRNA from 1 species
GACAGAGGGUGCAAACGUUGUUCGGAAUUACUGGGCGUAAAGCGAGUGUAGGCGGUUCGGUAAGUCGGAUGUGAAAGCCCCGGGCUCAACCUGGGAAUUGCGCGCGAAACGGGAGGGCUCGAGUUCGGGAGAGGAGCGUGGAAUUCCCAGUGUAGAGGUGAAAUUCGUAGAUAUUGGGAAGAACACCGGUGGCGAAGGCGGCGCUCUGGACCG